rnacentral:rRNA from 1 species
GUGGGGAAUAUUCCGCAAUGGACGAAAGUCUGACGGAGCAACGCCGCGUGAGUGAUGAAGGUUUUCGGACUGUAAAGCUCUGUUGUUUGGGACGAAAGUGCCUGUUGCGAACAGUUACGGGUAUUGACGGUACUAAACGAGGAAGCCACGGCUAACUACGUGCCAGCAGCCGCGGUAAUACGUAGGUGGCAAGCGUUGUCCGGAAUUAUUGGGCGUAAAGAGCAUGUAGGCGGGAAUCUAAGUCUGUUGUUAAAAUGCGGGGCUCAACCCCGUAUUGCGAUGGAAACUGGGUUUCUUGAGUGCAGGAGAGGAAAGGGGAAUUCCCAGUGUAGCGGUGAAAUGCGUAGAUAUUGGGAGGAACACCAGUGGCGAAGGCGCCUUUCUGGACUGUAACUGACACUGAGGCACGAAAGCGUGGGGAGCAAACAGGAUUAGAUACCCGAGUAGUCC